CAUAAAGCUGACUUUCCUGUACAUCUGCCAGAACUACAUCACCCUAAUUGCAAAGAAAGAUGGAAAAGUGAACGUAUGUCAUUUAAACCUCCAUCAUGGGAAGCCUACUUGGCCUCAAAGAAAAGAGAAGAAAUGACUGUGGAAGCUUUCCCUACUUUCAGAUUUACAGAGGGGGCCAUGUGAGAAGACUGUAGCUGAAGUAAUCUUGAACAGUGGUGAAGAGCAAGGAAUCUGUAGCAAAAAGGCCUGGAUUCAAAAUCUGGCUCAGCCACUCAGUAACUGUGUGACCCCAGCAGAGUCGUUUAACCCCUGGAGCCUUGGUUUCCUCCUGAAAAAUGAGGAUGAAAAUACCCCUUCCCCACUGUCCUGCAAAUGAAGCCAGUAGCACAAAGUAAGUUGGAUAAAUAUCAUCUAUUACUCUUCCCUUGGGAGAUGUCAGUCUUUCAUCCCAUGUGGAGCUAUUUGGUACAAUUUUUCUAUUGGAGAGCUAGCUGGCAGGACGGUGC
rnacentral:lncRNA from 10 species